AGAGUUUGAUCCUGGCUCAGAACGUACGCUGGCGGCACGCCUAACACAUGCAAGUCGAACGAAGUAGCAAUACUUAGUGGCAGACGGGUGAGUAACAUGUGGGUAUCUACCCUUUGGCCUGGAAUAACACGAGGAAACUUGUGCUAAUACCGGAUAAGUCUUUACGGAGAAAGCUUUAUGCACCAUUGGAGGAGCCCGCACUUGAUUAGUUUGUUGGUAGGGUAAUGGCCUACCAAGACUAUGAUCAAUAGCUGAUUUGAGAGGAUGAUCAGCCACAUUGGGACUGAGACACGGCCCAAACUCCUACGGGAGGCAGCAGUGGGGAAUCUUGCACAAUGGAGGAAACUCUGAUGCAGCGAUGCCGCGUGAGUGAAGAAGGCCUUUGGGUUGUAAAGCUCUUUCGUCGGGGAAGAAAAUGACUGUACCCGAAUAAGAAGGCCCGGCUAACUUCGUGCCAGCAGCCGCGGUAAUACGAAGGGACCUAGCGUAGUUCGGAAUUACUGGGCUUAAAGAGUUCGUAGGUGGUUGAAAAAGUUGGUGGUGAAAUCCCAGAGCUUAACUCUGGAACUGCCAUCAAAACUUUUCAGCCAGAGUAUGAUAGAGGAAAGCAGAAUUUCUAGUGUAGAGGUGAAAUUCGUAGAUAUUAGAAAGAAUACCAAUUGCGAAGGCAGCUUUCUGGAUCAUUACUGACACUGAGGAACGAAAGCAUGGGUAGCGAAGAGGAUUAGAUACCCUCGUAGUCCAUGCCGUAAACGAUGUGUGUUAGACGUUGGAAAUUUA
rnacentral:rRNA from 1 species